CAAAGGAUCCCUAACGAAGGGAUGAUUCAUAUAAAGCGUGUAGGGCGCCCCUGGCGGCGGGCAGCAGUACUACUGGCAACAACACAGCUGGUCCGGCCUUCACAACAUGAUACCUCUCCGGCUCAUAAUAAAAUCUGUUCCUGUAUUAAGCAGAGGCUUUAAAACCUCUGCAAAAUAUGGAGGAGAGUGGACUUACCGUACGGCUCCUCCACCUCCACCAAAAUCAAUAAUAAUGAAGGCCGAAAUAAUGGGAGCAUUUAUGUGGUGGUGGAUCCUCUACCAUCUUUUUACAGAACCAGAACAUAUCACUGUGAGUAUAUCUUAUACAGUAUUUUCAAGGUGUGUCUUUGUUCAGUGACUGACUACUAAAUGCAAGAGUUGAAGCUACCCUUCCCUUCAUUUACAGAAGUAUUUGCCAGAAGCUUGCAAUAUUUUAAUUUACCACUGCUAAUACUUUCCUCAUUGACUUUUC